UGGUUGAGACCCGCUCAAUCCUCGAAGCUGGUUCGGUGGUGCCACCAGGAAGAAGGAUCCCAUCAGGUGAGCUAUGGGGAGGUAAUCCUGCAAGAUUCAUAAGAACUCUAACUAACGAAGAAACCUUAGAGAUUCCGAAACUCGCUGUAGCCAUCAACCACUUAAGCGGAGAUUACUUCUCUGAGUUCCUUCCUUACUCUACUGUCUACUUAGAGGUAGAGAAGUUCAAGAAGUCCCUUGGAAUCAGUGUUUAGAGAUUCAUAAAUCUCUCUUUUCCUCAAAGCUUCUCUUGUGUGCUUCGCGUGCUUACCUGAUAGUACGAGGUCUCUCGUGCAUAAUGCAAUAAGUAGCUGAACAUCAAAACAUUCGAACGCUUGUCUUCUCAUUUUUUUGGUUUCUUUUGUAAGACUCAAAUUUUAAACUGAUUUUGGCUGGAUAAAAGCAAACUAUAUAUAUAAAGUUCUACUUCAGCUAAAAUAGUUUUAGCUGAAGUAAAUUAUUCUUACACACCAUACAUAAGUUUAUAGCAUUCAUGAUGUCUUAAUAAGAUAAGACUAGUUAAGAUUCAUGCUGUCUUCUUAUAAGACAUGACCAGAUGGAUUGUAUUAAAGGCCUGCAUGUUGAACCGAUUCUCAUCACUCUGCCAUUCCUCUUCCUCUUCCAAAACGGGAGAACGUCCGAUAGGUUCAAAGCAAAAAGUUCCUGUGAAUGGUACCCCAGGAAAAUUCUCGUAAAACGGCAUGCAAUCCGUUACUGAAUUCCCAAAAUACUUGUCUCCACGGUUCGAGCUAGCAAACAUGAACCCUCCAAACACUUUCUCUCUGUUUGUUCGGCUACUCGAACCCAACUGGCCGUAAGCUUGAUGAUGACGAGGCGGGGGUUCGACGAGAUGAUGAAAACGGUUGUAAACAUCGUUGCUGGAACCCAUUGCAGAGUCCAUAUCUGAGUGAUAAAACAUACAAAUAUCGCCUGGAUUUAUACCCGUGCCCGCGACACUAAACAUUAUCUGUUGUGUCCUGUUAACAAUCAUUCAUAGUUGAGCAACAAAAUAAAAUUAUAUUUUCAUGAAAAAAUGCUAAAUUGUUGGUGGUUUAUGCAAAAUAAUGCAUAUAAUCUUACCCAAUGACCUCAUAGAACUCUCUAUAUUUUAUGGACGGACCUCCGUCUAGCGGUUCGGUUUCUUUUGAAACACCGAUAUAUAGAAAAUACGGCUUAUCUAUAAUCUGCAAUAUCAUAUGUAAAUCUCAUCGCAGAUUAUGUAUAUAUAUGCAUGAAUUGCAUUCGCAUAGAAGUAUGGAACAUAGAGAUGAUUACCAGUGUAUGAAGAGACAGAAUGAGAUUAUAAGCAUCAAGUGGCCAUACUUCGCCUUGUGUUCUAGCGAAUAACCAUGUUGUUUUUCCCUCGUGCACCAACACGUCGAGUAUCUCUAUUUUUGGACCAAUUGGGAUUAUCCCACUUGAAAUCCCCACGUGAAAUUUGAUUUCCACUGCAUGCAACUAGUAUUUUAGUAUGUGUGAUUUCUUUUUCUUUUUUUCAGUCAACAAAAUAUUAUAUUUGUAGUCUUUUUCUUAAGUGUAAUUUUCACCUAAGAACUUGUGUACCUUCAUUGUUGUUUAGGUUAUCUCUGGCGAAAACAAGUGCGACCGCGUCUACGGUGUAAAGAGUGGUAUCAAUAUUGUCAACUUCAGCGUUGGUACAAACGAAAUAGUUGUGCGCAUCACCGAUCAUAACGGUUUCUCUUGAUAUCUUUGCAUCUACAAACAAGAAGAAGAAAGGUCGCUGAUAUCCAUGGAUCUCUUCCUCUGUAAUGACGAAGUCGUUAUAGAUAAGCUCCGUCUUGGCCCGCCUUGGUUAGCCAUUUCUACUUUAGAAUGUAGAAGAGAUCAAACGUUUAGGAUACCGUCAACGCUUACGUAAAAAAAUCGAAUUUGAUUUAGAUUUCGAAGAAGGAAAGUCUUGUGAAAUCGUAACUAAUCUAGCAAACGAGAAAAAGAUUAUACAAAACAAAAGGACAAACUCGUGAAAAUAACGAUGACGAAGCUGAGAUUAGUUCCGUCGUAGAUGCUCCUUCUCAAUCGUUCGUGACAAAGGAUAACGGCGACGAGAGAGACGAACGGAACGUUUUGUGAACGUCGUAGAUUCCUCCCGGGAAAAUGAUUCUGUGAUUUUCUGUAAAACGUUUAUCUCCUCCUUUUUGCAAAUUGAGGCAGGCUCUCCUCUUUAUUGUUGGCAAUAUAUUGAUUUCUUAUGUUUCGUAAUUUACUAUUAUAUCCUCCAGUUAAUGACGAGUGACUCCCUCAUAGAUUGGUUUCCUAUUUUCCAAAGGGUGUUGUCGUCAUUAUUAUUAAUGGUGUCAUUACACACGAGUUGAUGAUACUUUCUGGAUUUCAUUUUUAAUUUAUUUUGUUCAAAACUGGAUUUUUCUCACUUUAUUUCUUAUAAAAAUUUUGGACUACAACAGGAAUUUAAAGAUUGUUUUUUUUUUGAGAAAUUGGUAAGAAUGCAUCCAAAAGCUCAUAUAAUUUGCCAUAUACCUUUGUUUCUUGGGAAAAUUAUUUUUUUAGAGCAAAAAAAUGAUAACUAUGUCACUUUAGACUAAUCUCAUAUACUUUAUGUCCCAUUAGGUUAAUUAUUUUUAAAAUAGUAAUAAUAUCCUUAAAAUUGUAAUUUUUAAAUAUAAUAAAUAAUGAAUUCGUUUUUUUUUGGUUUUAAAAAAAAAAUCAAUUUUUUAAAAAAUAUGAAAGUGAAUAUUCCCAAAUAUUAUGUUUCCAUAUUUUAGGAACUGAUUUCUUAUCCGUAGAAUACAGCUAAUCUGUAAAAAUCGGUUUCUACAGGUUUUUAGAAUUAUAGUAAUGUGUAGAUUUUUAUUUCUACAUGUUUUAGAUUUACAGUAAAUCUGUAGAAGUUGGUUUCUACACGUUUUAGAUUUAUACUAAUGUGUAGAUUUUGAUUUCUAAAGAUUUUAGAUCGGUAGGUUAAGCGCGAAAUGUGUAUUCUAAAUACUUUUAGAAUACUCUUAUUUACGUAGAUCACAUAUUCUAAACAUUGUAGAUUCAAUGAAAAAAGUAGAUUUCGUUUUCUACUUCGUAGAAUGUCAUUUCUACUUUAUUUAGAACAUAAUCUGAAAUUUAUGAUUUAAACUUUUUUAGAACUAAAAAAAAUACCACUAAGUUCAUAUAGGUAUUUUAUCAAUAGUUAUCAUUUUCCAAAAAAAGUUUGUUUGUAAAACUAUUUAUUAAAUUUAUUUUCAAAAAUAUUAAAGGGUAUUAUAGACAAAACUUGCACAAAAUAGAUAUUAGUCUAAAAGGACAUAAUUAUCAUUUUUUUGAUCUAAAAAAAACAAUUUUCCCUUGUUUCCUUUUAAUAUUUUUUAUGACUAUAAUACUCUUAUCUCUAUCUCACUCCAUUUUCUCUUUUAUGUGUGUUUAAUCUCUUUAUCUCUCGUAUAGAUUUUUCAAAUCAUCUUCUAAUUCAACGCAAAUCUUUAUUUUUUUAUUCUGAUUCUUUUGACACCCAUAAUGCUAAUUUUAUUAUCUCACCUCAAUUCCAAUGUUUCCAAUUUUGACUCACAAUCAACUUUUAGAUAAUAUAUAUGUUAAUAGGUAUUUUAUUAAUUACCUGAUAUUAUUUAGAUUUCAAUGGAUUCUUAAUCGAUACAUGAAGUGUUAGAUGUUACAAAUAUAUUUGGGGCUAUUUGAUAGAUAACUAAUUAAUUGUUAAUAGUUUCAUUAACUAAUAUAUGAUUUGUUAGUCGAUACAUUUGUUUGAUACAUAUAUUGUUAGAUGAUACUGAAAUUAUUAGUUGAUAUGUUAGUUGGUAUGUAGAUUGUUACCUAGUAUGUAAAUAUUUAGCUGAUAAAUCUAGAGUUUUUUGUUUUCGAUAAAGCAUGAAGGUAUUUUCGUCCGCACAAUGUCAAAAAAUUACUCCAUUUUAGGUUAUCCAUAAUUAUAUGCAUUCAGCUAAUUUGGGCCUUAAUUGAGUAUAUUCCACGCAUUCUCCCCUUUAUUUUUUUACUUAGAACCAGACAAAUUUAAUUAGGAUAGUAGAAUGUAUGUUUAACUUCAAUUUAAAUAAUGUAUCAAACAAACGAUAACUUGUACAUAUAGAAUAUUAAAUUACCCUGUUAUAUAUGGGCCACAAUAAUAAAACAAUAUCAUUAUAUAUGGGCCGAAAAAUCAAAGUAGAAGAAAAUGAAUCUGCUAAAAGCCCACGUACUUCAAAUAUUAAAAUGUAUUUCCACGUGGGUUCCAAAAAUUGGUUGGUUCACCACUCCCAUUUGCUUUCACAUCAGACGAGAAGCUUCGUGUCUAACAAAACAAAACAACCCCAGCUCCGACUCCACUCUCUCUCCCCCUCUUCCUUUUUCGUUUGAGUUUCACUUUUUUCUCUCUCUCUCUCUCUCUCUCAAAAACGAGGAACAUGGCAGAUUGGGGACCAGUUCUGAUAGCCGUGAUCCUAUUCGUAGUGCUAACACCGGGGCUUCUUUUCCAGAUUCCGGCGGGAGGCCGAGUUGUCGAAUUCGGGAAUAUGCAGACGAGCGGCGCUUCUAUUCUCGUCCACGCUAUCAUCUUCUUUGGUCUCAUCACUAUCUUCACCAUCGCCAUCAACGUACACAUCUAUUCCGGUUAACUGUGUUAGCUGAGCUUAUUACUUGUUUACGGAAAGUCUUUUCUUCUCCGCUUCUGUUUGUGCUUUCUAGUUUUUCAAAAAUUGAUGUAAGAUCUGGCAUUUUCGGAUACAUGUGAAUAUAAUCAAAAUUUUCGUAUAUGAUAUAAAAUUCAUUUUGGUAUGGAUCUGGUAUCAGCUGUGGAAUUUGUUUGGGAUCUGGUUUAAUUGGUUCCUUUAUCGAAUGCCACUUGAUAGGUUACAACGUACAAUCAAACUGUUAGUUGAAAAGUCUUUUCACUUCUUAAUUCAAAGCACAAAGCAGAUUGAUCUGUGGACCUCUAAAACGACGCCGUAUCAUCUAUUAUUGGGCUUGUUGUAAUAAGCCCAUUAAAGCCUAAUCUGCAUCUCGUUCUGUUUCAUCCGAGUCUCCCGACGACCGCAUUUCUCCGCACUUUCGUCUUGGCAAAUCUAUCAGCAAUGGCGACUUCAAUAGCUCGAUUCUCUCGGAGAGGAGUAGCUUCUAACCUGAUCCGUCGCUACUUCGCUGCGGAAGCGGCGGUCGCGGUCAAGACAGAGGCGCCGAAGCCACAACUGACGGUGUCGCCGUCGCCGGAUCGUGUGAAGUGGGACUACAGGGGACAGAGACAGAUCAUUCCCUUGGGGCAGUGGCUUCCGAAGGUUGCCGUUGACGCCUACGUGGCACCAAACGUUGUGUUGGCCGGUCAGGUCACAGUCUGGGACGGCUCGUCCGUCUGGAACGGCGCCGUUUUGCGCGGGGAUCUCAACAAAAUCACCCUCGGGUUCUGCUCGAAUGUGCAGGAACGGUGCGUUGUCCAUGCCGCGUGGUCGUCCCCAACAGGUUACUGUUCACUCCAUUCUCAUAAAUUCUAAUUAUCCAAUUUCUGUUAUAGAAUCAAGAUAAUGUUAGACAGGAAUCAAGAAUCUCACUGCUAUGUUGUUGAGCUCAAUAGUAGAGUUUAGUAGAUUAGCACCACAGUCUCUAUGAUCUGAUUGGCUUUUUGAUAUUGAUGAUUCUAGGGUUACUGUCUAUUUUGGAAAUUUUCAGGAUUACCAGCAGAGACGUUGAUCGAUAGAUACGUGACAGUAGGUGCAUACAGUCUUCUGAGAUCAUGUACUAUCGAACCAGAGUGUAUUAUUGGGCAACACUCAAUACUAAUGGAAGGUUCACUGGUUGAGACCCGCUCAAUCCUCGAAGCUGGUUCGGUGGUGCCACCAGGAAGAAGGAUCCCAUCAGGUGAGCUAUGGGGAGGUAAUCCUGCAAGAUUCAUAAGAACUCUAACUAACGAAGAAACCUUAGAGAUUCCGAAACUCGCUGUAGCCAUCAACCACUUAAGCGGAGAUUACUUCUCUGAGUUCCUUCCUUACUCUACUGUCUACUUAGAGGUAGAGAAGUUCAAGAAGUCCCUUGGAAUCAGU
rnacentral:lncRNA from 1 species